UGAACGCUGGCGGCGUGCCUAAUACAUGCAAGUCGAACGCGCAGCGAGAGGUGCUUGCACCUUUCAAGCGAGUGGCGAACGGGUGAGUAACACGUGGAUAACCUGCCUCAAGGCUGGGGAUAACAUUUGGAAACAGAUGCUAAUACCGAAUAAAACUUAGUAUCGCAUGAUAUCAAGUUAAAAGGCGCUACGGCGUCACCUAGAGAUGGAUCCGCGGUGCAUUAGUUAGUUGGUGGGGUAAAGGCUUACCAAGACGAUGAUGCAUAGCCGAGUUGAGAGACUGAUCGGCCACAUUGGGACUUGAGACA
rnacentral:rRNA from 1 species